rnacentral:rRNA from 1 species
UACGUAGGGGACUAGCGUUGUUCGGAAUUACUGGGCGUAAAGCGCACGUAGGCGGAUUUGUAAGUCAGGGGUGAAAUCCCGGGGCUCAACCUCGGAACUGCCUUUGAUACUGCAAAUCUCGAGUCCGGGAGAGGUGAGUGGAAUUCCUAGUGUAGAGGUGAAAUUCGUAGAUAUUAGGAAGAACACCAGUGGCGAAGGCGGCUCACUGGUCCGGUACUGACGCUGAGGUGCGAAAGCGUGGGGAGCAAACAGG